GAGGGUAGAGCUCAGUGGUAGAGCACAUGCCUAGCAUGCACGAGGUCCUGGGUUCACUCCCCAGUACCUCUG
rnacentral:tRNA from 1 species